GAGUGGCGAACGGGUGAGUAACACGUGGGUAACCUGCCCAUCAGAAGGGGAUAACACUUGGAAACAGGUGCUAAUACCGUAUAACAAUCAAAACCGCAUGGUUUUGAUUUGAAAGGCGCUUUCGGGUGUCGCUGAUGGAUGGACCCGCGGUGCAUUAGCUAGUUGGUGAGGUAACGGCUCACCAAGGCCACGAUGCAUAGCCGACCUGAGAGGGUGAUCGGCCACAUUGGGACUGAGACACGGCCCAAACUCCUACGGGAGGCAGCAGUAGGGAAUCUUCGGCAAUGGACGAAAGUCUGACCGAGCAACGCCGCGUGAGUGAAGAAGGUUUUCGGAUCGUAAAACUCUGUUGUUAGAGAAGAACAAGGAUGAGAGUAACUGUUCAUCCCUUGACGGUAUCUAACCAGAAAGCCACGGCUAACUACGUGCCAGCAGCCGCGGUAAUACGUAGGUGGCAAGCGUUGUCCGGAUUUAUUGGGCGUAAAGCGAGCGCAGGCGGUUUCUUAAGUCUGAUGUGAAAGCCCCCGGCUCAACCGGGGAGGGUCAUUGGAAACUGGGAGACUUGAGUGCAGAAGAGGAGAGUGGAAUUCCAUGUGUAGCGGUGAAAUGCGUAGAUAUAUGGAGGAACACCAGUGGCGAAGGCGGCUCUCUGGUCUGUAACUGACGCUGAGGCUCGAAAGCGUGGGGAGCAAACAGGAUUAGAUACCCUGGUAGUCCACGCCGUAAACGAUGAGUGCUAAGUGUUGGAGGGUUUCCGCCCUUCAGUGCUGCAGCUAACGCAUUAAGCACUCCGCCUGGGGAGUACGACCGCAAGGUUGAAACUCAAAGGAAUUGACGGGGGCCCGCACAAGCGGUGGAGCAUGUGGUUUAAUUCGAAGCAACGCGAAGAACCUUACCAGGUCUUGACAUCCUUUGACCACUCUAGAGAUAGAGCUUCCCCUUCGGGGGCAAAGUGACAGGUGGUGCAUGGUUGUCGUCAGCUCGUGUCGUGAGAUGUUGGGUUAAGUCCCGCAACGAGCGCAACCCUUAUUGUUAGUUGCCAUCAUUCAGUUGGGCACUCUAGCAAGACUGCCGGUGACAAACCGGAGGAAGGUGGGGAUGACGUCAAAUCAUCAUGCCCCUUAU
rnacentral:rRNA from 1 species